UGUGACCCAGGUUGCUACCAUGCUAUGGACGCAGGUUGUUGGUGGUCUCAGGUCACUGGAGCAACAAACAUAGCAGGUGACUAACGACCCAGCUUGUAAGUGGGCAAGCAGCUUGCCAGGCAACCACCAUAGCAGGAAUGCUGUGAAGAAAGACCCAACAUACUCAUUACAGGCUACACAGACAGGCUCCUGGAUCUCCUCUACAAUGAGGUCACCCUUGAUCCAGUGCUGUUUGUGGGGAAGCUGUGCAAGCUGUCCAUCCCAGGACGCCUGUCUGCCCAGUGUGAGAGAAAUGACGAGGAGGCCAUAGCUGGAUUUGUCUCCGGCUUCAAUCUUGGGGGAUGAUUGAAGUCUGCUUGAUUGAAGCGGGGUAAAUGGGUCCCCCUCCUCUCCUGUUCCCCUCCCCAUCAAUCUCUGUAGUUGGUUGCAUUUCCUAAAGCCUUAGUUAUUCCCUUUUACGUGAUAUGAUAUCACAUUUUGCUACUUUGUAUUGUUUUUUUUUCAACCAUUACAAAUUGUACAACUCAAUGGGGUCCUAAACACUGUAGGGUGGCCGGGUGCCUAUAUUAGGCUUAUGGCGCUAAUAAAAAGCACGAUUAUAAUCUCACCUUUAUUACUCAUGAUGAGUGUUCAUGUUGAUCAAUAUUUUGCCUAUGCUUGCCUAUUUUAAACAUAUUGUCAUUUAUAAUGCUAAUGCAGAGGCACUAAUUAAUUGUCCAGUACACUUAUUGUAUGCUGUUUUCAUAUAUAUUCCCUUAUGUCUAAGCUUCUAAGGUGACUCAGGCUUUACUCAUUAUUGUUAAGAAGUGUAUCAUUGAACUGUAUCAUGUAAUUAGUAACAAAACAAUAGAAAUGCAAUUGUGAAUUUCUGCUGUUUGUCUGAUAUCCAACAGUCUAUGAUCAGCUCUGUUGACAAUGAGUGCAUUUUGCACAGAAAAUGGGGUGAGGUGUACUAUUUAGGCUUGGAAUGACAUGUGGCCCAUUGUUUACCUGGUCGUCAAGGAGAUGUAGUCCAUUAUUAAACAGGUUUGGAUCCUGGAGGCUGAUUGGUUUAUAUGUGAGAGUUGUGGGACAACAACUUCUGCAAAAAACAUGUGUUAAUCUCAUAAUCACUGUCCCGCAGCCCAGGCAGGAAAUUCAUAAACGUAAUCUACACAUUUACACAGAAGUUUUCUACCAUUUGGUUUGCAACAGUUAGACAGAUAGGUUUAUACAACCCCCAACUCUAAAACCUGUGCAUUUUACAAAUGCGAUCUCUCCCAUGCCGGCAAAGAAGAGGCAUAGCACUGGUUGUCACCAACCAGCACUCAGAACAGCCCCUGUAGGGAGUUGUCACACAAUAAUUAUUGGGUUCUCAGGCAUGAGCUCAUGAAUAUAAGCUCCAUGCACACUCAGCCUGCUCUU